AUGUGGAACGAGAACACACACACACAACUCCAUAAACUUCAGUCGGAAUUGAAGCCCACAGGCCUGCAAGCAUAUAUGUACAUUUAUUCCUCCUCAGAUGAAAAUAAAGACAUCGGCCCCAUUAAACGCGAACAGGAAAAACAGGAGUUCCACGGGCGCGCUUUGACACUGUCGCAGCUAAGUAAAAUGAACAAUAUCCAAAAGAGAAACAAAUGGACUGAUGGCCCAAGGACUCCUAUAUAUAGCUUGAUCCCUGAGACCAGACCGAAAGGAAACAUAUUUGGGCGAGAGGGAGUGCUUGGGUGAGGACUGAAAGAAGCACUGGAAAGGCGCCUAAGAUGACAGCAUCUCGCUGGGCUAGACCGCGGAUUCUCACCACCAAAGAAACCAAGCCGCCCGAGGUGCCGCUGCCCUACGCGCGGCUGCGGCGGAGACACCAAAGGCGGGAAGGCUCGGGGCUUUACUUGGCUUUAAUAUGCAGGGGUGGGGGAGACUAGGGGUUCACUUAGGAGAAGCAUCCUACCCACCACCCUAUCUCUACGUUCUCUGACCCACACGCAAAACAAGAGAAUUAUGUUUUCAGCGAGCGGGAGAGCGAACAGCGGCCUGUGCUUUGCCGAGGCUGCUGCAGCCCCGCGUGCUGACACCUUGCGGAGGAGCGCUUUGAACUCCCCGGAUCGCUCCGGGACUCGGCACCGCCGGGUCCCCUUAGACUCGACGUAGAAGCAUUUGGACAAAUCCAGUCCCGUCGCCUAUACUCCCGGCUGAUGCUACCGAUUUCCCGGACAGUCUCGGCUCUGCAGGCAAUGCCGGCCGAAGCCACCCAACACUUCGGCGAGAAGCAUGGGGGAUGGGAGUCCCGUCGCCCCUGCCCCGAACUCAAUCGCCCUCUUCCCGCGUGACCAAGGCCGCUCCACGCCGGGCAGGCAGGGGGCGCCGGGGGGGGGUAGGGGGCGCCCUCUCCGAGCCCAGUGUCCCCGCAGCCCGCCCCCUGGGGGUCACUCGGCGCCCUGCCAUCCUGGAGCUCGCAGGCCGGAGCGCGCCCUUUCGGCCUCCUUCUCCUCGACUGCUGUCGCCGCUGGCUGCGCGCCCCCUACUCCGCGCUCUCCAGGCGCUCGCGGGGCCUCUUCUCUCCCCACCUGCCCGC
rnacentral:lncRNA from 1 species